AUAGUAGAGAGUGACAGAGUUCCAGGGUAAACCAGGUAUAGUAGAGAGUGACAGAGUUCCAGGGUAAACCAGGUAUAGUAGAGAGUGACAGAGUUCCAGGGUAAACCAGGUAUAGUGGAGAGUGACAGAGUUCCAGGGUAAAGCAGGUAUAGUAGAGAGUGACAGAGUUCCAGGGUAAACCAGGUAUAGUAGAGAGUGACAGAGUUCCAGGGUAAACCAGGUAUAGUGGAGAGUGACAGAGUUCCAGGGUAAACCAGGUAUAGUAGAGAGUGACAGAGUUCCAGGGUAAACCAGGUAUAGUGGAUAGUGACAGAGUUCCAGGUUAAACCAGGUAUAGUGGAGAGUGACAGAGUUCCAGGUUAAACCAGGUAUAGUGGAGAGUGACAGAGUUCCAGGGUAAACCAGGUAUAGUGGAGAGUGACAGAGUUCCAGGUUAAACCAGGUAUAGUAGAGUGACAGAGUUCCAGGGUAAACCAGGUAUAGUGGAGAGUGACAGAGUUCCAGGUUAAACCAGGUAUAGUAGAGUGACAGAGUUCCAGGUUAAACCAGGUAUAGUAGAGAGUGACAGAGUUCCAGGGUAAACCAGGUAUAGUGGAGAGUGACAGAGUUCCAGGUUAAACCAGGUAUAGUAGAGAGUGACAGAGUUCCAGGUUAAACCAGGUAUAGUAGAGUGACAGAGUUCCAGGGUAAACCAGGUAUAGUAGAGAGUGACAGAGUUCCAGGUUAAACCAGGUAUAGUGGAGAGUGACAGAGUUCCAGGUUAAACCAGGUAUAGUAGAGUGACAGAGUUCCAGGGUAAACCAGGUAUAGUGGAGAGUGACAGAGUUCCAGGUUAAACCAGGUAUAGUAGAGUGACAGAGUUCCAGGUUAAACCAGGUAUAGUAGAGAGUGACAGAGUUCCAGGGUAAACCAGGUAUAGUGGAUAGUGACAGAGUUCCAGGUUAAACCAGGUAUAGUGGAGAGUGACAGAGUUCCAGGUUAAACCAGGUAUAGUGGAGAGUGACAGAGUUCCAGGGUAAACCAGGUAUAGUGGAGAGUGACAGAGUUCCAGGUUAAACCAGGUAUAGUGGAGAGUGACAGAGUUCCAGGUUAAACCAGGUAUAGUAGAGUGACAGAGUUCCAGGUUAAACCAGGUAUAGUAGAGAGUGACAGAGUUCCAGGGUAAACCAGGUAUAGUGGAUAGUGACAGAGUUCCAGGUUAAACCAGGUAUAGUGGAGAGUGACAGAGUUCCAGGUUAAACCAGGUAUAGUGGAGAGUGACAGAGUUCCAGGGUAAACCAGGUAUAGUGGAGAGUGACAGAGUUCCAGGUUAAACCAGGUAUAGUGGAGAGUGACAGAGUUCCAGGUUAAACCAGGUAUAGUAGAGUGACAGAGUUCCAGGGUAAACCAGGUAUAGUAGAGAGUGACAGAGUUCCAGGUUAAACCAGGUAUAGUGGAGAGUGACAGAGUUCCAGGUUAAACCAGGUAUAGUAGAGUGACAGAGUUCCAGGGUAAACCAGGUAUAGUAGAGAGUGACAGAGUUCCAGGUUAAACCAGGUAUAGUGGAGAGUGACAGAGUUCCAGGUUAAACCAGGUAUAGUAGAGUGACAGAGUUCCAGGGUAAACCAGGUAUAGUAGAGAGUGACAGAGUUCCAGGUUAAACCAGGUAUAGUGGAGAGUGACAGAGUUCCAGGUUAAACCAGGUAUAGUAGAGAGUGACAGAGUUCCAGGUUAAACCAGGUAUAGUAGAGAGUGACAGAGUUCCAGGUUAAACCAGGUAUAGUGGAGAGUGACAGAGUUCCAGGUUAAACCAGGUAUAGUAGAGAGUGACAGAGUUCCAGGUUAAACCAGGUAUAGUAGAGAGUGACAGAGUUCCAGGGUAAACCAGGUAUAGUUGAGAGUGACAGAGUUCCAGGUUAAACCAGGUAUAGUGGAGAGUGACAGAGUUCCAGGUUAAACCAGGUAUAGUAGAGAGUGACAGAGUUCCAGGUUAAACCAGGUAUAGUAGAGAGUGACAGAGUUCCAGGGUAAACCAGGUAUAGUUGAGAGUGACAGAGUUCCAGGUUAAACCAGGUAUAGUGGAGAGUGACAGAGUUCCAGGUUAAACCAGGUAUAGUAGAGAGUGACAGAGUUCCAGGUUAAACCAGGUAUAGUAGAGAGUGACAGAGUUCCAGGGUAAACCAGGUAUAGUUGAGAGUGACAGAGUUCCAGGUUAAACCAGGUAUAGUGGAGAGUGACAGAGUUCCAGGUUAAACCAGGUAUAGUAGAGAGUGACAGAGUUCCAGGUUAAACCAGGUAUAGUGGAGAGUGACAGAGUUCCAGGGUAAACCAGGUAUAGUAGAGAGUGACAGAGUUCCAGGUUAAACCAGGUAUAGUGGAGAGUGACAGAGUUCCAGGUUAAACCAGGUAUAGUGGAGAGUGACAGAGUUCCAGGGUAAACCAGGUAUAGUGGAGAGUGACAGAGUUCCAGGUUAAACCAGGUAUAGUGGAGAGUGACAGAGUUCCAGGUUAAACCAGGUAUAGUAGAGUGACAGAGUUCCAGGGUAAACCAGGUAUAGUGGAGAGUGACAGAGUUCCAGGUUAAACCAGGUAUAGUAGAGUGACAGAGUUCCAGGUUAAACCAGGUAUAGUAGAGAGUGACAGAGUUCCAGGGUAAACCAGGUAUAGUGGAGAGUGACAGAGUUCCAGGUUAAACCAGGUAUAGUAGAGAGUGACAGAGUUCCAGGUUAAACCAGGUAUAGUAGAGUGACAGAGUUCCAGGGUAAACCAGGUAUAGUAGAGAGUGACAGAGUUCCAGGUUAAACCAGGUAUAGUGGAGAGUGACAGAGUUCCAGGUUAAACCAGGUAUAGUAGAGUGACAGAGUUCCAGGGUA